rnacentral:rRNA from 1 species
AUUGAACGCUGGCGGCAGGCUUAACACAUGCAAGUCGAGCGAGAGGCGGACGUGUGAGUAAUGUCUGGGAAACUGCCUGAUGGAGGGGGAUAACUACUGGAAACGGUAGCUAAUACCACAUACCAUCAGAUGUGCCCAGAUGGGAUUAGCUAGUAGGUGGGGUAAUGGCUCACCUGGGCGACGAUCUCUAGCUGGUAUGAGAGGAUGACCAGCCACACUGGAACUGCGACAGGGUCCAGACUCCUACGUGAGGCAGCAGUGGGGAAUAUUGCACAAUGGGCGCAAGCCUGAUGCAGCCAUGCCGCGUGUGUGAAGAAGGCCUUCGGGUUGUAAAGCACUUUCAGCGAGGAGGCGUUACUAGCAGAAGAAGCACCGGCUAACUCCGUGCCAGCAGCCGCGGUAAUAC